rnacentral:misc_RNA from 1 species
AAGUCGUAACAAGGUUUCCGUAGGUGAACCUGCGGAAGGAUCAUUAAUAUACUUGAGUUAUCUAUAAAGGUGGUCGGCCUCCCCGUAAUCUACGCUAUGUGUAGAGGGGGUAUUCGGCCGGCCAUCCAGAUAAACCCCACCCGUGUGUAUAAUAUCAUUGUUGCUUUGGCAGGCCGCCUUUGGGCCCCGGCUAACGCUGGGCCGUGCCUGCCAGAGGACCCUAGACCCUGAAUGUUAGUGUCGUCUGAGUACUAUAUAAUAGUUAAAACUUUCAACAACGGAUCUCUUGGUUCUG